UUAGAAUGCAUCAAAGAAUUCAUACAGGAGACAAACCUUACAAAUGUGGUGAAUGUGAUAAAUGUUUUACCCAGAAAUGCAGUCUGAGAAUUCACCAGAGAAGUCAUACAGGAGAAAAACCUUACAAAUGUGGUAAUUGUGAGAGGUCCUUUACAAGUGGCUCAUAUCUUAGAAUACAUCAGAGAAUUCAUAAAGGAGAGAAACCUUACAAAUGUAGUGAAUGUGACAAAUCUUUUACCCAGAAAGGCUAUCUUCGAAUUCAUCAGAGAAUUCAUAAAGGAGAAAAACCUUACAAAGGUAAUAAAUGUGAAAAAUCCUUUACCCAGAAACGCUGACUUGUGAAACUCAUCAGAGAAUUCAUAUAGGAGAAAAACCUUAAAUGCAGGGAAUGUAGCAAAUCCCUUGACAGGAGGAAAAACUGUAUUAGAACUUAUUAGGAAUUUCAUACAAGAAAUAAAACAUAUAAAUGUAUAGAAUUUGAUAAAUUGUUUAACCAGAAGAGCUGUCUUAGAAUUCAUCAGAGACUUCAUUCUAGAAACUUUAUAAAUGCAGUGAAUGUGGCAAAUCCUUUACCAAGACAAACUACCUUAGACCUCAUCAGAGAAAACAAGAGAGAAAUGUUAUAUGUUUAGUGAAUAUACAAAUCCUUAACUAUUGACACAUCUCCUAGAAUGCACCAAAGAAUCCAGACAGGAGAGAAACUUUACAGUUGGAGUUUAUGAGAAGUCUUUACACAUAUCUCAUGUCUUAGAAAACAUCUGAAAAUUUAUAGUGGGAGAAAGUCUCUCUAUAAAGUCAUGUUCUUUAAGAAACUUGAGCAUCCACACUAGAGAAAUAUGAUGGUCAUAAACUUGUGAAAACCUUGAGUAAUGUUCACAUCUAAGAAUAUAUCAAGAGUUUAUGUUAAGGGAAAAUCAGAAAAUGACAAUGUAGGAAAUAUUUUUAUUAAAAUGUUUUACUUGUUAAACUUCAUACUUUAACUUUUAGUGAAUCUUUGAACUUUGCUCAAACUUUAGUAAACUUGUUCAUCCUCCAAUAAUCCAUAAUGAAGACAAAAUGAAGAAACCAGCAGAAUAUGGUAUUGUGUAACAAUUUUCUGCAGACUGAAAUGAUCUAUUCUGAAGGGAUUGUGAUUAAGGCAGCAAAUACAUACCUCAAAAAUAGUUUCAAGAAAUCCCUGAAGUGACAGCAUUCUCUGCUUAAGUCAAAUAAUUAAAUCCAGACAAAUUAUGCCUCUUAAAAGAGGAUUUGACAAAGUGCUGGCAAAGUAAGAUGGAUUUACUAAAUAAAUUAUUACUCAUUAGUUUUUCCAUCUGAGAUGUAUAUGUACUAGGAUAUAAAACUACUCAGACAUGUGUAAUAUAUGCUAAAUUGUUAAUAUUACCCCUUAUGGUGUAAAAAACUUUACUAUGUAUGCUGUGAGAAUAUCAAGCUGUACUACAUUUACAGUUAGAAAUCAGUAUACAUUAGGACAAAAUUCAAAACCAUCUUUUAAACAAUGCCUGCAUCUAUCCCUGUCCUACCACCUAGGUCUUCUCUACCUCCCCUAUUUAAUCAACCUCCUACCAGCUCUUUUCUACUACCCAUUGUCUUUUCAAAACCCUAGACCUUUCCUCAGAUCCUUGUUCUGGGGUGACAUAUCCUUCUGUCCUUGCUCCCUUAGAGACAUUUUCUAACAAUUGUUACCUGUAUGUCUGUGGGGGUAUGUUGGAAUAGGUGGUGUCUUUGGUAGGAAGUAUGUCUCUAGGGGUGAGCUUUAAGGCCCUACUCUUUGUUGCCUG
rnacentral:lncRNA from 1 species